rnacentral:lncRNA from 1 species
CCUUUAUGUGUUUGUAUGCAUGCGAUUGGCAACAUAACUGGCUUAUUUACAUUAAAUACGCCACAAGGUUACAGUGCAGAUCAACGUCACUUUAUCGCUGAUUACUUCUCUUAAACGCCGGAGCUGUGACUGAUGCUCCGGUCCCGGUGUCCACCAAGAUUUACCCUGGAGUUUUUAAAAGAAACAGACUUGAAAUAGUUUCAGGAGCAGCACAAGAAAAUGAUCAAGUCAAUCAUGUGGACAUGCUUCAUUAUUCAUUGAACACAAUCUUUUACAACGCUUCGUUUACGUGCAGGAGUUUCUUCUACGUUUUGCUUUAAAUUGUAAGUUCCUGACCUUCAGUACCUAUCCCAUGUCACUAGAAAUUUCUCUCAGCCAAGAGAAAGAUUCAGUGGUUUGAGAGUUACCUGGUAAGGAUCAUUCAUUAUAUUAUUGCCUAACUUUUUUCUCUGUUUAUGAAUGAGGUUUAU